CUCUCUUGGCAGUUUGAUUUGGCCGCAAUUUCAUUUGGGAAAAAUGGAAGGAGGCGACAAAUUUGGUUCGAUCGUCGUCAUGUAUUGUUGCGAUGUACGUAAGGUUUCGAACACAAAUUUGAAGGUAACAAAUUUUGUUAUAUACAGAGAGAAAAAGUAUUAUAAUAAUGAUGGAAUAUAAUAAAGGAGGGAAAGAAAAUGAAUAAUGUUUUGAUAACAUAAAGAUUGCACGUAUCACUAAUUAAUCGGUAUAGUUAUCCGCGCGAAAACUGUGAGCAAGCAAAGGAUUAUAUAACUUUACCAUUAAAAAACUUCAUUUCAAUUCGUACUUAAUUUAACUCGUUUAUUAAUAAUAUUUAUUGCCCACUUAUUAACACAAAACACGUGGGCCAAUAUUUUUAUGGCCAAUUUAUCUCGUUAUUAAUGGGUUUUAUGGCCCAUUUAGUGGUUGUGAAUCCUCAUGACAUCGACGUAAGACUUGCCAGUGAGCUCCCGUCCGAAAAAUCCUUUGAAGUAGUCUGUUACACUUAUCCUCUUAAACUGGGUUGGGGAGGUGGGAGUAAUUAGGCUCGGAGCUGGGCCCAAAUCUCCGUCUAACCUCGGGCUCAAGAAUGUGGCCACUGAGAUCCUCUCCUUUUUUGAGUUCACGGUAGCUCGAUGUUCGACGCUUUUGUAAACCCCGUUGCUCACAAUCUACACCAUAUAAAAAAAUGAACACACGUGUAACUAAGUGAAAGUCCAGUUUAACUUUUCACCUGUCAGAUCAAAUGUUAACUUUCCAUUUUACCUCCAAAAUGUCGCCCACAUUUACGAUUAACGCAUCCGGCAGAGGCGUAACGGGAACCCAAUAUCCAUCGUUCUUGACCUGUAACCCCGGCGUAUCGCUCGUCACUUGUAGCAGUAUUGUGAGCCCGACAGCGUCAGAGUGUGAGUUGAGACCCAUCACCAGCUCCGGCUGCGGGCACGGUGGAUAAUAGUUCAUUCGAAAUUGCUGCCACCCUUCUUCUCCAAACAACACGUUCAUGUCAGUUCGGUCCAUCCCUAGAGCUUCAGCCAUCAGGUUCAAAAUCUUCAUGGCCAAACUCUUCAGUGCUGCUGAAUAUUCUUCCAAUGUAUUCCUGUUGCAUAUAUUUAAAGAAAAAACAGAGUUGCCAAGUUACAAACCAUUCUCAAUCUCUAACAACUACCGAUUCUAUAGGCAACCUAAUGCUUCGAACUAGCGACCAAUGUCGCCUAUAUCGUAUAGGAGAUCCAAGUUGGAUUCUUCCCGUUUCGUUUCAACGAAACAAGUAGAAAGUUUGAUUUCCCGACCGGACAGAACUUGGUACCUGAGUGAAAGAGGCAACAAGGGGAAGAGAUAAGGUCUCCUUAGAUGUGUAGGAAGGCUAGUGAUGUAGAACAUAUCUCCCCAAUCUAGCUUCUGCUCUUGAGAAACCACAAAGGCUUGUCCAAAACCUUCCAAAUCUCCACAUCUCUGCCAAAACUUCUUCUUCUCUUCCAUUGGAAUGCUGAACCACUCUUUAAUCUCCUUCUUCACUCUCUCCACCAAUGAAUCGCUCACCCCAUGGUUAACCAACUAAUAGCAAAACAAUUUUAUAAAACUGGUUAAAAAUUCAACAUCAAAAGUCACGAAAAUGAUUUUGAUCACAAAACAUGUACUACGUAUACGGACCUGGAAGAAGCCCCAAUCUUUGCAAGCGUCGUGGAGCCUAUCCAGCUCUUGAUCUGAAGAUAGUAGUUUCUCCAAAUCGACCAAAGGAACUUGAGCCGUAGAUUUGACAGUAGCAUCAUCGCGUGGUUCGUGACGGAUGAAACGGGGAGGAACGGAGGUUAGGAGUGGAUCCUUGGCCAGCUCCUGAACGCAUGGCACUGGCAGGGAGCCCCCCAGCUUGGUUAGCUCUUCCAUCUCAAGUUGUAAUUGUCUCUAAUCUAUGCUUUUUAGUUCCUCUUGUAUGUAUAAUGGCAUUAUGGCUCUGGAAAAAACAAAGCAAAAUGACAAAUUUUACCGCCAACGUCGGUUUAGCUGAAUCCCAAUUGCAAGAAGACAAAAGAAGCGAAAGGCUUAUCCUUUUAUCUACGUAUGACUCGUAUAGGGUAUUAAAAUUAUUCGGAAUCCGUUAUUGAUUACUAUAUUGCUCCGUUCAAUCGGGUAGGACGAUACUAAUUUGGCUAUAAAAAUCGAAUAUGUUGAGAUAUUUUGUGAAGAAAAAGAGACCAUCCAACAGCGUAAUAUAUGGAUAGUGUCGGCAGGGUUGAAUAUGAAUGACCCGUUAAAAAGACGUACAGUGAGCUCUGUUUCUAAGGAUAAUUCUUAGAGUUGAUCGUCAUGUCGCCGGCGAAGAAAACUGGAUUGGUUGGUCGGAGCCGUCAGCUGAGGCACCCACAUCAUUAUAUAACAUUUGUUCGUAUAAAAGUCCAAAUUUAUAUCAUUGAUAAGAUAACAACAACUUGAAAAGUAAUUUCGGAAGAAACCCCAAUCUUUGCAAGCGUCGUGGAGCCUAUCCAGCUCUUGAUCUGAGGAUAGUAGUUUCUCCAAAUCGACCAAAGGAACUUGAGCCGUAGAUUUGACAGUAGCAUCAUCGCGUGGUUCGUGACGGAUGAAACGGGGAGGAACGGAGGUUAGGAGUGGAUCCUUGGCCAGCUCCUGAACGCAUGGCACUGGCAGGGAGCCCCCCAGCUUGGUUUGCUCUUCCAUCUCAAGUUGUAAUUGUUUCUAAUCUUUGGUUUUUUUUUCCUCUAUGAAUAAUGUUUUGAUAACAUAAAGAUUGCACGUAUCACUAAUUAAUCGGUAUAGUUAUCCGCGCGAAAACUGUGAGCAAGCAAAGGAUUAUAUAACUUUACCAUUAAAAAACUUCAUUUCAAUUCGUACUUAAUUUAACUCGUUUAUUAAUAAUAUUUAUUGCCCACUUAUUAACACAAAACACGUGGGCCAAUAUUUUUAUGGCCAAUUUAUCUCGUUAUUAAUGGGUUUUAUGGCCCAUUUAGUGGUUGUGAAUCCUCAUGACAUCGACGUAAGACUUGCCAGUGAGCUCCCGUCCGAAAAAUCCUUUGAAGUAGUCUGUUACACUUAUCCUCUUAAACUGGGUUGGGGAGGUGGGAGUAAUUAGGCUCGGAGCUGGGCCCAAAUCUCCGUCUAACCUCGGGCUCAAGAAUGUGGCCACUGAGAUCCUCUCCUUUUUUGAGUUCACGGUAGCUCGAUGUUCGACGCUUUUGUAAACCCCGUUGCUCACAAUCUACACCAUAUAAAAAAAUGAACACACGUGUAACUAAGUGAAAGUCCAGUUUAACUUUUCACCUGUCAGAUCAAAUGUUAACUUUCC
rnacentral:lncRNA from 1 species